CUUAANUGCACGUUUUAAUCUUUGUUAAAACACUGUAAUGAACUAGAUUUGUAACUGAAGACAGACUAUACUGAUCAUGAAAAUGGUUUUGUCUCAACGACAGCGAGAGGAGCU